rnacentral:rRNA from 1 species
CUACGGGUGGCUGCAGUAGGGAAUAUUGCGCAAUGGGCGAAAGCCUGACGCAGCGAUACCGCGUGAGUGAGGAAGGUUUUCGGACUGUAAAGCUCUGUCAAGGUGGAAAAAUGGCAUAUGUUCGAAUAGGGCAUAUGUUUGAUGGUACACCUAAAGGAAGCACCGGCUAACUUCGUGCCAGCAGCCGCGGUAAUACGAGGGGUGCAAGCGUUGUUCGGAUUUAUUGGGCGUAAAGCGCGCGCAGGCGGAUUAAUAAGUCAGGUGUGAAAUCUCGGGGCUCAACUCCGAAAUUGCGCCUGAAACUGUAAAUCUAGAAUCUCAGAGGGGAAAGGGGUAUUUCUCAUGUAGGGGUAAAAUCCGUAGAGAUGAGAAGGAACACCAGAGGCGAAGGCGCCUUUCUGGAUGAGCAUUGACGCUGAGGCGCGAAAGCGUGGGGAGCAAACAGGAUUAGAUACCCCAGUAGUC